UACGUAGGCAGCGAGCGUUGUUCGGAGUUACUGGGCGUAAAGGGUGUGUAGGCGGUCCUCUAAGUUUGGUGUGAAAUCUCCCGGCUUAACCGGGAGGGUGCGCCGAAAACUGGAGGGCUAGAGUGCGGGAGGGGAGAGUAGAAUUCCUGGUGUAGCGGUGAAAUGCGCAGAUAUCAGGAGGAACACCCGUGGCGAAAGCGGCUCUCUGGGACGGUACUGACGCUGAGACGCGAAAGCGUGGGGAGCAAACAGG
rnacentral:rRNA from 1 species